rnacentral:rRNA from 1 species
AACCUGCCCUGGAUGGGAUAACAGCUGGAACAGCUGCUAAUACCGCAUAAUGCAGUUGGGCCGCAUGGCUCUGACUGCCAAAGAUUUAUCGCUCUGGGAUGGACUCGCGUCUGAUUAGCUAGUUGGUGGGGCAACGGCCCACCAAGGCGACGAUCAGUAGCCGGCCUGAGAGGGCGACCGGCCACAUUGGGACUGAGACACGGCCCAGACUCCUACGGGAGGCAGCAG